UACGUAGGGGGCAAGCGUUGUCCGGAUUUAUUGGGCGUAAAGAGCGUGUAGGCGGUCAGGUAGGUCCGUUGUGAAAACUCGAGGCUCAACCUCGAGACGCCGAUGGAAACCAUCUGACUAGAGUCCGGAAGAGGAGAGUGGAAUUCCUGGUGUAGCGGUGAAAUGCGCAGAUAUCAGGAAGAACACCCGUGGCUAAGGCGGCUCUCUAGUACGGUACUGACGCUGAGACGCGAAAGCGUGGGAGCGAACAG
rnacentral:rRNA from 1 species